rnacentral:lncRNA from 1 species
GUUUGCCAGACCCUAUCCAAGGGCACCAGCAGUGUGGGACAGAAGAGAGAAAGAAAGAACAUUUGAAAGACUCUCUUCAUACUGAUCUCCUUUUGGAAUUCUUCAAGGGCCUGUGGGAAGAAGGACCUCUCAGUAACCUGCUCUGAAGAAGGCCUGGGAGGAGACCCCACUGUCACUUGUGUUAUUAUUGCUAUUGUUUUGUUUGGGGUACCAAUGGAUUGAGUCCAGGGGGCAGUUAGCCACUGAGCCACAUCCCCAGCCAUUUUUAUUUUUUUAUUUUGGGACAGGGCUUCUCUAAAUUGCUGAGGCUGGCUUUGAUCUUACAAUCCUGCCUCAACCUCCCGAGCCACUGAGAUUACAGGCGUGUACCACCACAUCACUUUCAUAUGUUCUAAGUGUGUAUGGGACACUCAGUCUGGGUCUGGUGCUGCCCAAUGGACCUCAGUAAAACUUCAAGGAAGCUGGCAAAGAACAUGAAAGGAAAAAAGUGAAGAUGGUACCCUGCCCACAAGAAAUCAUGGGUUUUUUUGUCUUUGUGAGUCUCUGUCCUCCAAGGGUCAAUUGGGUAGGCAUAACAGCUAUUUAUUGAUGUGUCUGUCAUAGGCCAGGUAGGAAAUAUGAAACACUCUUCCAAAUGGAAAAAAAAAAUUAACAAGGAAUUGGUAUAUGGGUAAUGGAGACAAUAAGAAAGUAACAGAGCAGGAAGCAGCUUCCCUCCUUUAGGCUGGAAGACAGAAGGGUAUCCCAGCAUUAGAGACCAAGAAGCUCGCAAAGCUAUUUAGCGGGAACUAAAUAGUGGGGACUCCCCAGUAGGAAAUGGGAUUGUGGAAGGAGUAUAGAAAGAAAUAUAACCAGCCACAGGUGAUGCCAGAAAACAGAAUGGGAGAGAUGGCCUGGCGUCUUCUCUCCUCACCCACUUGUCAUUUACCAGUGCCUCCUAUUGGCUGAACCUAUGCAGAAGCCAGAGUAAAAGGAGUCUGGGAAAUGUAGUUCCCAAUACAUGGAAAGGGUGGAGAACAGAUACCAAAGUGAAUCAGCUGCUUACUGGCACAAGAAAAGAAGCCCAGUUCAGCCUGCUGAGGUUAAAAAGGAUCUGAGACAGUGGUUAUCUGUGCCUGCAAAGGGCAUGCAGCAACCUUUUGUAGUGCAAGAAAUGUUCUAGAGGGAUACACAGAAUCUUUGAGGUUGAAAAUUCACCAAUUCAUAUUUCCUACCUGUAUGUAUAAGAUUUGUGUACUUCAUACACUUCAUUCAUGUUUUAUCUCAACUAAAAGAGUCUCUUUCUUUUAGAGUAAAAGCCUGAAAUAUUUUUAAAUGAAAUGACAUGAUGUCUUGAAUGUGCUUCAUAAUAAUCAAGGGGGAUUAACAGAGCAUGUAUGUUAGUGUGGGAAGGAGGCAUACAAAGAAAUAAAACUGACCGUGAGUUGAAGGGGUAAUGAGGACAUAGC